rnacentral:tRNA from 2 species
GAGUCUGUGGUCUAGUUGGCUAUGACAUCGCCUUGACUCGGCGAGGAUCGGGAGUUCAAAUCUCUCCAGACUCA